CCUACGGGAGGCAGCAGUCGGGAAUAUUGGACAAUGGAGGAAACUCUGNUCUAGCCAUGCCGCGUGAGUGAUGAAGGCCUUAGGGUCGUAAAGCUCUUUCGCCUGUGAUGAUAAUGACAGUAGCAGGUAAAGAAACCCCGGCUAACUCCGUGCCAGCAGCCGCGGUAAUACGGAGGGGGUUAGCGUUGUUCGGAAUUACUGGGCGUAAAGCGCGCGUAGGCGGAUUAGAAAGUUGGGGGUGAAAUCCCGGGGCUCAACCCCGGAACUGCCUCCAAAACUGCUAGUCUAGAGUUCGAGAGAGGUGAGUGGAAUUCCGAGUGUAGAGGUGAAAUUCGUAGAUAUUCGGAGGAACACCAGUGGCGAAGGCGGCUCACUGGCUCGAUACUGACGCUGAGGUGCGAAAGUGUGGGGAGCAAACAGGAUUAGAUACCCUGGUAGUCCACACCGUAAACGAUGAAUGCCAGUCGUCGGAUAGUAUACUAUUCGGUGACACACCUAACGGAUUAAGCAUUCCGCCUGGGGAGUACGGUCGCAAGAUUAAAACUCAAAGGAAUUGACGG
rnacentral:rRNA from 1 species